rnacentral:rRNA from 1 species
UAGUAACGGCGAGUGAAGCGGCAACAGCUCAAAUUUGAAAUCUGGCUCCGCUCUGGGGUCCGAGUUGUACUUUGCAGAGGGCGCUUUGGCGUCGGCAGCAGUCUAAGUUCCUUGGAACAGGACGUCACAGAGGGUGAGAAUCCCGUACGUGGCUGCGUGCCUUCGCCGUGUAAAGCCCCUUCGACGAGUCGUGUUGUUUGGGAAUGCAGCACUAAAUGGGAGGUAAAUUUCUUCUAAAGCUAAAUACUGGCCAGAGACCGAUAGCGCACAAGUAGAGUGAUCGAAAGAUGAAAAGCACUUUGGAAAGAGAGUCAAAUAGCACGUGAAAUUGUUGAAAGGGAAGCGCUUGCAGCCAGACUUGCCUGCGGUUGCUCAUCCGGGCUCUUGCCCGGUGCACUCUUCCGCAGGCAGGCCAGCAUCAGUUUGGGCGACUGGAGAAAGGCCUCUGUCAUGUAUCUUCCUUCGGGAUGACCUUAUAGGGGAGGCGUAAUGCAGCCAGUCCGAACUGAGGUCCGCGCAUCUGCUAGGAUGCUGGCGUAAUGGCUGUAAGCGGCCCGUCUUGAAACACGGACCAAGGAGUCUAACAUCUAUGCGAGUGUUUGGGUGUCAAGCCCGAGCGCGCAAUGAAAGUGAACGGAGGUGGGAACCCUCGGGUGCACCAUCGACCGAUCCUGAUGUCUUCGGAUGGAUUUGAGUAAGAGCAUAGCUGUUGGGACCCGAAAGAUGGUGAACUAUGCUUGAAUAGGGUGAAGCCAGAGGAAACUCUGGUGGAGGCUCGCAGCGGUUCUGACGUGCAAAUCGAUCGUCAAAUUUGGGCAUAGGGGCGAAAGACUAAUCGAACUAUCUAGUAGCU